rnacentral:lncRNA from 1 species
AGCAAAAAAGCAUGGGAGGCCUCUAAAGCCAGAAAAGGCAAGAGUACAAAUAAUCCUUUACAGCCUUCAGAUAGAAUGCAGCCCUGAUGGCAGCUUGAUUUUAGCUCUUGUCAGAAUUCUGACCUGCUAAAAUGAAAAAACUUCUAGGGGAAUUGGAUGUGAAAAGUGUCCCUGGUCCUAUGAUCACAAAGAUUUGCAGCAAGGUCAAGACACAGAAGUAACAAAUGCUUCCAGCUUCAGCAAAUGGUGCCCCAUCUUCUGCAUGGGAAUACCCAUUAUUCCAAGCCUGUUUUCGGGGAAAGUGAUAGACAAUGGUGGUGCCCAGGGUGCAGGGAACAAAGGGAACUGGACAGAUGGAAAAUACGCAUUGGGGUUAUAAAAUACAAUUCUGCAGAGGUCCUUUUCCUCAGACACAACCUAGAAAAUGGCAAUGAAAAAGAUAAGGAAAAUUAAAGAGAUGAAAUCCAAGAUCAUUAGAAAGCUGUACAUACUGAUACAGACACCCAGGAACCUCAAAAUCACAGGAUACAAAGGGAGAAAAGCAGUAAUCGACCAGCUAGGACUCAGCUAAGCAGGACAGCAGAGUAAAAUGAGGCUCAAGUGCUAACUUCUGGCAGGUUCUUAGGCUUUGGGACUCCGACUGGCUUCCUUGUUCCUCAGCUUGCAGAUGGACUAUUGAGGGACCUUGUGAUCAUGGAAAAAAACAAACCAACCAACAAACUGAGCCUGAAACUGAUAACACAGAUACGUACAGCAUCAUAUUUAAGUAACCAAUCGGAAUUAUUGCAGUGGAGAUGUUUUAUUGGUGGGAAAUACGGUAUCACACCAUUUCAGACAUCAGGAGAUAAUUAUCCCUGUCUUCUCGGAACCAGCUUCUUCAAAGGAGUCAGGAAUUAUUUAUGAUAGAAACUACUGAAACAAUACUAAGGAGUUCAUAGGUUGCUGAGAAGGUAGCUUCCUGCCCUCUGCUUGAGGAACACGGAUGGAAGAAAGGAGAAGAUCUGGUCAACACAGCUCCUGAAAUGCUGAUUAAGCAUUAUGGGAUUUAAGGUUUCCUGGCCAAGUCUGAGCUAAAAUGUUAACACUCCUGAAGAACACCAUAAAGAAAGAAAAACAAAAACAAAAAAAUUCUCUCGUUUCUUUGCUUCUCAGUCAAUCUUCACACUAGGGUGAGGGAUAUAGGGGUCGUUCUUAUGCUAAGAAAAAGAAACACUGCAUGGUACAGAUCAUAUUUUCUUCACUAAAUUCAACUUUACUUAGCAAAAUAUUCAAGUGUCUUAGCUGAUUCAGAUGGGAUAAUUUAUAAACAGCAUAAAUAUAUUGCUCACAGUUCUUGAGGGUAGGAAGUCCAAAAUGAAGGUGCUGGCAGAUUUGCUGUUUGGUGUGGCUCUCUGCUUCAGAGAUGGCAUUUUCUAUGCG